rnacentral:rRNA from 1 species
AGCAGCCGCGGUAAUUCCAGCUCCAAUAGCGUAUAUUAAAGUUGUUGCAGUUAAAAAGCUCGUAGUUGAACUUCGGGAUCAAUGGAUUGGUCAUGCCAAUGGUGUGUACUGGUCAUAUUGGUUCUCACCUUCUAAGGAACCAUAAUGUCAUUUAUUUGAUGUUGUGGGGAAUUAGGACUGUUACCUUGAAAAAUUAGAGUGUUUAAAGCAGGCUAACGCUUGAAUACAUUAGCAUGGAAUAAUGAAAUAGGACAUCGCAUUCUAUUUUGUUGGUUUCUAGGAUCGAUGUAAUGAUUAAUAGGGAUAGUUGGGGGCAUUAGUAUUCAAUUGUCAGAGGUGAAAUUCUUGGAUUUAUUGAAGACUAACUACUGCGAAAGCAUUUGCCAAGGAUGUUUUCAUUAAUCAAGAACGAAAGUUAGGGGAUCGAAGACGAUCAGAUACCGUCGUAGU